UUCUCCUUUCCGUGUAUCUGUUCCUUCCCAUGAGUGGUCAUUUUUCUAUUUGAAAAUCAUGACCAUGAAACCUCGAACAUUUACGGGUUAUGCAAACAGCUUCCGUCGGUAUAUUUUUAAUAAUCACCACUCUUAUUAUUACCAGAUGUUGAAAUCCCAAGUGAUAGCAGAGUGACAGACUGUAAUGAGGCUGCCUGGGGGACUUCUGCGGACAUACUGCUCCCUCUGCGGACAAGAGGCUGAGAAGAGAAGUGCCCAAGACAGUGGAAUUUUUUUAGUGUGUCACCUGGCAUCAUGGAAUAGUGGCAGUCCUGUGGGAUGUCCCUACUGGUUGUUCCUUGGUUCUUGAAUUCCAAAUGUUUGAGUACCACUGUCAUACAAGAACAGUUCAAUCCCCAUCUCACCCUUGGGGCCUUCCCUGUCUUUCGGGGCUCCCACUUUUCCUUUCUUUUAAAAAAUAUCAGUUAGGAUAUUUUGUUUGUAAAGUCAUAAGUAUAUAGGUGCAGGACAAUUGGUAAAUGUAAAAACUCACAAAGAAGAAAAUAGUAAUCCUCUAUAGUCUCACUUCUCAAGUGAAAAUAAAUAUUGCCUAAGAGAUGCCCUUCUA